rnacentral:rRNA from 1 species
UACGAAGGGGGCUAGCGUUGCUCGGAAUUACUGGGCGUAAAGGGAGCGUAGGCGGGUCGUCAAGUUGGGGGUGAAAGCCCAGGGCUCAACCUUGGAAUUGCCUUCAAAACUGACGAUCUAGAGUAUGGAAGAGGUAAGUGGAACUCCGAGUGUAGAGGUGAAAUUCGUAGAUAUUCGGAAGAACACCAGUGGCGAAGGACGACUUACUGGUCCAUGACUGACGCUGAGGCUCGAAAGCGUGGGGAGCAAACAGG